AACAUCUAAAAAAAUAAUAUACGGUAAUAUACAUAUGCACGUAGUGUUCUAUUCCAUUUCACUGAAACAGUAUAGAACCCUACCCCCAAUUCAUAAAUACGAAACUCUAAACCCUAAUUACUAAACUCUAAUUAUUAAACUCUAAACUCAAAUAUAAAUUAUAGACCCAAGUAUAAAUCAUAAACCUAAAUAGAAUUGAACAAAAUACAUAGCAUAGUACAUAUUAGUGAAAUUAUGAAACAUAUAUGAUUUCAUGGAAUAAGUUAAUGUU
rnacentral:lncRNA from 1 species